AGAGUUUGAUCAUGGCUCAGGUUUAACGCUAGCGAUGUGCCUAACACAUGCAAGUCGAGCGUCCUUAAAUACUCUUUAAGGAGCGGCAAACGGGUGAGUAACACGUUGGUAACCUGCCCCAAAGUGAGGGAUAGCCUACCGAAAGGUGGAUUAAUACCGCAUAUGUUCAUAGACUCUUAUGGGUUUAUGAGUAAAGCAGCAAUGCGCUUUGGGAGGGGCCUGCGACGUAUCAGCUUGUUGGUAAGGUAGCGGCUUACCAAGGCUAUGACGCGUAGCUGGUGUGAGAGCACGACCAGCCACAAUGGGACUGAGACACGGCCCAUACUCCUACGGGAGGCAGCAGUGAGGAAUUUUCCGCAAUGGGGGAAACCCUGACGGAGCGACAUCGCGUGCGGGACGAAGGGCUUUUGCCUGUAAACCGCUUUUCUGAAGGAGCAAGUUCUGAGUUCACUUCAGGAAUAAGCGCCUGCUAACUACGUGCCAGCAGCCGCGGUAAUACGUAGGGCGCGAGCGUUAACCGGAAUCAUUGGGCGUAAAGCGUCCGUAGGCGUUCCGAAAAGUCUGAUGUAAAAUUUUAGAGCCCAACUCUAAAAGUGUAUUGGAAACUUUCGGAAUAGAGGAGUUCAGAGGCUAGUGGAAUGCUGCAUGUAGGGGUUAAAUCCGUAGAUAUGCAGUAGAACACCGAAAGCGAAGGCAGCUAGCUGGGAACUUCCUGACGCUGAGGGACGAAAGCGUGGGUAGCGAACGGGAUUAGAUACCCCGGUAGUCCACGCCGUAAACGAUGGAUACUCGGUAUUGGAGGUUCGACCCCUUCAGUGCCCAAGCUAACGCGUUAAGUAUCCCGCCUGGGGACUACGAUCGCAAGAUUAAAACCUAAAGGAAUAGACGGGGACCCACACAAGCGGUGGAGCAUGUGGUUUAAUUCGAAGCUAAGCGGGGAACCUUACCUGGACUUGACAUCCCGAGAAUCUCUGCGAAAUCAGAGAGUGCCGCAAGGAACUCGGUGACAGGUGCUGCAUGGUUGUCGUCAGCUCGUGCCUUGAGGUGUUCUGUUAAGUCAGUGAACGAGCGCAACCCUUGCCCUGAUUUGUAUAUGUAUCAGGGGACUGCCGGCUCCAAGUCGGAGGAAGGCAAGGAUGACGUCAAAUCAGCAUGGCCCUUAUGUCCAGGGCUACACACGUGCUACAAUGGGGUGUACAAUGGGGAGCCAAGCCGUAAGGCGGAGCAAAUCCCACCAAAGCAUCUCUCAGUUCGGAUUGAGGUCUGCAACUCGACCUCAUGAAGUUGGAAUCGCUAGUAACCGUAAAUCAGCUUGUUACGGUGAAUAUGUUCCUGGGUCUUGUACUCACCGCCCGUCAAGUGAUGAGAGGCAGGGGCGCCCGAAGUCGGUUUACCUAUUUUAGGGGCUGCCUAAGGUGAAACUGCUGAUUGGCACUAAGUCGUAACAAGGUA
rnacentral:rRNA from 1 species